ACGAGAGUAGUACUCGGAUGGGUGACCUCCCCGAAGUCCUCGUGUUGCAUCUAUUUUUUUCGGCUGAGUCGUUCAACGUUACGCGCGAAUGGAAUUAUGAACUGCUGGUUCAUUCGCAAAGUUGAGUCACGGUGUCGUGGCAUUUUACUUGAUACUAGAACGUGAAGGAGAGAUGCACAGUGUACGCACAAGGAAACAAAUGACAGGAGGGGGGAUGGAAGGAGAAAGAU
rnacentral:lncRNA from 1 species